GUGACCUUCUGACCACACGACAGAAGAAGGAUCAACUGCUUUGGAUAGUGGUUGACCACAGGGAUUGAAACUGUAAAAGAAAAUUCGAAGUCCCAUGAUGCAGCAACAGUGACUCACCUUUCCAUCUGAGGGCCGUUCCUCCCAGUUCAAGUAUGAUGUUUGCUUAAAAGAUGAAACCAUCCCCAUUCUAAGUAAAUAUGACAUUUGGACAACUCUUCAA